AGGAACUCGAAAGAUGGAGACAACCGAAGUUGAUGGAAGAAUUGUUGAAGGAAAGGGUUAAAUUAAUUAACAUGGACAAUGAGAGUUAUUAUACAAUUGCAAUAAAUCAAAAGUGAGAUGAAGAAACAACAAAAGACCCAGCUGCUUUUGAGCUCAUACAACCGAAGAAGAUGAGAGAGAGAAUCCAAAGCUAAGCAAUUAUAUCGAGCAGAAACGAACAAAGGAGAUCAACUCCUUCCUCUUCUUCUUCUUCUUCUUCUCCCUUCCAUGUGCCUCUCCUUUCAAGUGGCUUUCUCUGAAUUCUUCUUCUUCUUCUUCUUCUUCUUCUUCUUCUUCUUCUUCUUCUUCUUCUUCUUCUUCUUCUUCUUCUUCUUCUUCUUCUUCUUCUUCUUCUCUCUCUCUCACCUCUUCAAGAAUGAAAUGCUGCUUUCCUCUUCACUAAAAGCUUUAUUCUCCUCCUUUCUCGAUGCCAAUUUUUCCUUCCACUUUGCCUCCCAAGUUGCUGCAUCUUAUUCACCAAAUGAAUUAAACGAAUUGGAGAGAGGGGGGCGGUCGCGAUGGAAACUCUAAUGGUGCCUUCGAAGAACUCCGCCGGUGAAAAAUUCCUCCUCGACUUUCUACCAAAGAAGACAGAUGAUGAAGAAGGAUGGGGUGUUUUGGAGGGAAGAAUAAGAAAGGAUGGAAAUUGAGAAGGGGAAAAUGAUUAAUAAAAAAAAAAAGGAACAAUAAUGUUAAAUUUAUUAGGCUUUGAGCUUAAAAAUAAUUUCAAAAGGUAUGUUUAAAAGAGCUUUUUGAGCAGAUACAUGUGUGUAUAUGGUACAAUCUUGCAGGGUGGUGGAUUCCGCUCCGCCACUGCCACUGCCGCCACCACCACCAACUGCUGUCGCACCGGUGGAGGCCUAUUGAACCAUGGCUAAAAACGACGGCGCCCCAUUCCCUCCGCCAUUUGGGGGCGCUGAUGCGUUCGGCCUCUGGAAUUCGAUUUUAUAGGCCAUUUUCCUCUCCUCCUCCAAUUCUUCAUCCUCCUCGUUUUCUUCAUCAUCCUCUUCCAAUUCAUUUUCCUCCUGAUCUUCUAUAUUAUCACUGUCGCCUUCCUCCAUCUUUUUAUCGUUGUAAUUACCGCUAUUUACCCUUAAAUGCUGUUGAUCCGAGUCCAAGUGUUGAUUUUGAUGCUGUCCUUGCCCUAUGAGCUCUUUCACGGUGUCUUCUGGCUUCAAAUCCCAAAAAAAUAAUCAGCCCUCAAACUGAACAUGGAUUGAAUCAACCACAGACGUAAAUUUUUUUAACCAAAUUAUCCACAAUUCGAUCAUAAAUGAUGGAAUUAGACAUGGACAUUUCUCACUUUUUUUACAAGAAAAUGUUACCUUCUUAAGCGAUCCUCCAUUUCCUUCCUCGACCGUCCUCUCUUGUGCCCCUGAAUUGUCCCCUCCAUCUUUACGUUCGGGCUCACCCGCCUGUGCCGGUGCCGCCGCCGGCGGCGGUGGCGGCGGCGGCGGCUGAUCCUGAGCAAUUACCGGGCGAGCUUCCAAGUUCGCCGUACUCGGAGACGGCUCGGCCCUAAACCCCAUGGACCCGGAGGUGGCAGCUGUGCCGCUGGUGGCGCCGCCACCACCACCACCAAGUUCCUUUUUCCUAUAAAGGGCAUCGAGCUCGUGGAAGUACGGGCAGGUCUUGGCAUCCUCGGGCCGCUUCUUGUUGCUUUCCUUCACUUUCUUGAAGUAUUUGUUGAUGUUCUCCCAUUUCUCCUUGCACCUCUUGGCGCUCCUCUUGUACCCCAUCCUCGCCAUGCCGGCAGAGAUUUCCUCCCAGAGCGGCCCCUUAGGGCCAGCCUCUUGAUACCUCGACUCAAGCCCACUUCGCAGCUUUAUCAGCGCAAUCACUUCCACUUUCGGCCACCUCGAAGAGGAUGACGGCUCCCCUCCACUUCCGCCACUAAGGAUGAGUUCUUGAGACCGUGGCGGCACUUGCUGCUCCGGGACGGCCAUGAUUAUUCCAGUCGAAGCGGGCAGCGGGUGCGUGACAACCUCGAUGUUCUGUCGCUGCUGCUGCGGUUGCUCUUGAUACGUUGGAGGUGGUGGCAUCGGCGGUUGUGGAUGAGGAGCAGCAUGGGUUGGUCGAACCUGUGUUUUGGGCAGCGGGGUCUGAGAGAGAGGCGGAACACUAGUCGUCACAGUUGCCAGCAUGGUAGCCGGCAUGGUCGGCAGAUGGAUCGUCUGGCCUGUGAUCUUCUGCAAGAAUGAGACAAUGGCUGCAUCCCUUGAGGCGGAGGCGGCGCGCUCCUGAGCCGCGAUCUCGUUCUCCCGGGCCAGCCUGUUCAUCUCCUGCCGCCGCCACGCCUCCUCUCUAAUCAACCUAUCCUGUUCUCUCUUCUCUAUGGCCUCAAAGAACCUCUUCUGCAUCUCCUCCUGCUUCUGCAUCACCUGCCUCAUCAGUCCCUCAAAGAGCUCCAUCAUCUUACGGCGGCUUCCGCCGCCGCUGCCACUCGUCUCUCCUGGCCCCCUCUUCCGCUUGCGGCUACUGCCCGUGGUGGAUGGCUCACCUUCCUCUUCAUCCUCCUCGUCAUCAUCGUCCUCCUCCGAUCUCCCAGACGAGGAGGAACUGUUUGACGAGAAGAUCAUUCCCAUCGGGCUAGCUGACAUCGCCGCUGUGGCUGCCGACCUGGUAGCCAGACCGGGUGCUGUUGUGGGUGCAAAUAUGUGGUGGGUAUGGGGCGGCGGAUGCGCCAAGACAGGAGGUUGGCCGCGGACAGUGGAGAUUGGGACGGGGUUGGCGAACGAUAUCCCGAUCGAAACUGGGGGUACCGAGAGACCGCCCAGGGCUGCAGUGCCAGAAGCAGCACCACCACCACUUGAAGCUGCUGAUAUUCCGACGGUGGCCCCGGCGGCGGUGUUGUGGAGGGCUUCGAGCUCGGAGAAGAACUUGUAGGUCUUGCCGUCUUGACGACCAGCACGGCCUUCCUUGGUCCUCUUAUAGUACUUGUGGACGUUCUCGAACUUCUCCUUGCAUUUCUUGGCACUUCUUCUGUAUCCGAGUUCACCUAGCUUUCUGCAACCACAGUCCCAUAAACAAACAUUAAAAAAAUAAGUUGCUUAGUGAAUCUCUCUCUCUCUCUCCCUCUCUCUCAACGGAGAUUGAUGUCAUGCAUGAGAUCAAAAUCCCAGAUCAAGGCUUGUAAUCUCCGUCUUGUCAAGUAGCAGACAACUAGGAGAUCAUACGAACCCAAAAAGCGAAAAAAAAAAAAGGAGAUAAGAAAAGCCGAGAGCGAGAGGGAGAGAAAGAGAUAUGAGAUGAGACACGUCCAAAUGCAAAAUAGUGACCCAACUUGAUGACAACUUAAGCCCACUGCUGAAACCAUUAACAAAAAAAACUUGAGUGUCGCUAUUAUUAUUGAAUAAUUGGAAAGUGCAGUCCUAAACAAAGAACCUAGAGAGGGGGAAAAAGUUGUGAAGAGAAGGGAAAAAAAAUGUUGAAUUUUCGGGGGCUGAGAAUUGUUCUCGGGAUUUUCAGUAUUUUUCGAAGUAAGGGGAGGGAGGGAGGGAGAAGGAGGGGGUACAGAUCAAGAUGCUUUUCGCAUCCACAUGUAAAAUAAAAAUUCUCGAAAAAGAGGAGAGAGAGUGAGGAGGCGAGAGGAUUGGUCCAGAGCUCAUGCACUUGAUUUGGCCUAUUUCUAAAUUUGGAGAAAGCUUAACCCACCCAAAACAAAUAAAAAUCUCUCGAAUUCGAGAGAAGGGAAAACAUGAGAAGAUGCCCAGAUGCCUGCUCAACAGCUCGUGAGUCGUGUUGGAAAGAGAGAGAGAGAGAGAGAGAAAGAAGAAGAAGAAGAAGAAGAAGAAGAAGAAGAAGAAGAAGAAGAAGAAGGAGAAGGAGAAGAAGAGAGAACCCAUCUGGGUACAAGGACAGGUUGAAUUGCUUGAAAGUGAGAUAAUCAUCUGAGGAAGAUUGAAGGAGUUGGGUUCCGUUUAAAGAUCGAAAUGAGAAAAAUGAGAAAAACACGUUUUGAUAAUGAUGUUAUCAUGAUGAUGAGAGCAAUGGGGGGGGUUCACGGGGNNNNNNNNNNNNNNNNNNNNNNNNNNNNNNNNNNNNNNNNNNNNNNNNNNNNNNNNNNNNNNNNNNNNNNNNNNNNNNNNNNNNNNNNNNNNNNNNNNNNNNNNNNNNNNNNNNNNNNNNNNNNNNNNNNNNNNNNNNNNNNNNNNNNNNNNNNNNNNNNNNNNNNNNNNNNNNNNNNNNNNNNNNNNNNNNNNNNNNNNNNNNNNNNNNNNNNNNNNNNNNNNNNNNNNNNNNNNNNNNNNNNNNNNNNNNNNNNNNNNNNNNNNNNNNNNNNNNNNNNNNNNNNNNNNNNNNNNNNNNNNNNNNNNNNNNNNNNNNNNNNNNNNNNNNNNNNNNNNNNNNNNNNNNNNNNNNNNNNNNNNUUAGAUACCGUCGACUCUAGAGGAUCCCGCAGAGAGAGAGAGAGAGAGAGAGAGAGAGAGAGAGAGAGAAUUCCUACGAGUUAGUGCAAGAAGAGGGAGGGAGAGGAGGGAGGGGGGGUUCAGAUUUUGGUUUUUGUGUUCUUUUCAGUUCGGAAAAGAAAGAGAGAGAGAGUUGAGAGGGAGGGAAGGGGAGAGAGGGGGUUGCAGUAAAGAAGAGAGAGAGAGAGAGAGAGGAAGGGAGCAUAAUCAUCAACUCUGCACUGUAGCACACACAACAAGCAUAAAAAAAUGAAAAAUUUGAGGGAAAAAAAAUGGACAGAGUAAAAAGAAAGAGAUGGGUUGUAGAGAGAGAAAGUGAUGGAGAGAGAGAGAGAUAGGGACUACGAUUAUGAGGAUGAUGAUGAUUGAGAGAGAGAGAGAGAGAGACAGAGAGAUGGGUGUGAAUGAGUGAAUGAAUGAAUGAAUGAAUGAAUGGAAAUGUGAUAAAACAAAGGAGAUGCUGUGUUGUCAGCGACUUCACUUUGCUGCUAAUAAUUGUUAGAACCCCCCAUUUCACCAGCCCUUAAAAAAAUCCACCCCCUUUUUCCCCCCCUUUUUUUAUUAUUUUUAUUCCUUUAAUCCCCCCCCCCCCUCAAAAAAUAAAUUAAAAAUAACAAUAGUAAUAGCAAUAAAAGAAAAAAAAAUCAAUGAGAUCGGCAAACCCCAAUUUCACCAUUUCAAGUACGCCGCCUAAAAGGACAUUCAUGGGCUCCUUCUGCUCCCCCCGUGGCAAAUUCCAUUCAACUCUGCUUUGACAAAAUAUUGAAUUUCAAGAUUGGAAAAUUUAUCAUCGUUGUCAUCCCCCAUCCCCAGCCCCCUGUUUUUCUUUUAAGGUGCGAGGUAGCUUAAUCUUUUUUCUCAAUUUUCGAGAAUAUUUUUUGCACGGGACCCGGAUGAUUCUCCCUGAUCGGGGACGGACGGAAACACAUCCUAUUCUAGAUACCGUCUGAUUUUUCCUAUUCAAUUGAGUUUGAAUGUGCGCGUGUCCCUUAUUUGUAAUCCCAUCCUUUAUGGGCCAAUUAUCAAUGGAGGAAAAUUCAUAGUCCUGCCUAUUAUUAUUAUUGACAUGACGUGUCCCUUGAUGUAUAAUAUGUAUAUAAAAUAUUUAUGAAUAAUUCUGAAGAGAGAGAGAGAGAGGGUUUGGCGUGCUUUUCACAGCUGUAAACGUAUGCGUAGAAGUCGUAGCGAAUGGCCAUGACAAGCGUAUUGUACUUUAUCCUUUUCUUUAUUUUUUUCUUAAUCCUCAAUAGAAUACAUAAAAAGGAAAAUAAAGAGAAAAAGAAAAAGGAAAGAAAAAGGAAAGGAAAGGAAAGGAAAGAAAUGGAAAUGGAAGCAGUGCCACCCAUGAUGGCUGUGACCCAUUACUGUUUCAAGAGGCUCGAGCAAUUAUUUUAUCUAUACAAUAUAUAUCAUAAAUAUAUAUAUAUAUAUAUAUAUAUAUCAAAUAUAAUAAGAAACCUAACAGACGCUCCAAUCUGGGGUGACGUGGCCUUCCAUUAUUGGGCUUUGCUUUAACUUUUUCAAAUCUGACACCACCCAAGUGUUUUGCCCCGCACAGAACCGCAGCAGAUUCUGUUUAUCCCCCUUUCUUUCUUUCUUUAUCUCCAGGAACCCCACCAAAAAUCAAUAAAAUAUAAUUAUUAUUAUCAUAUGUAUGUAUGUAUUUUUUUUAACCUUAGACCUGACUGCUGAUCAUUCACAUUAGUUUCAUUUAAUUUCUCUCUCUUUUUUCUCUGAGAAGUGGACUUUAUAAAUAAGCCAUUUUGAGCUGGAACAAGCUUGACAUUUGAAAUACAGGGGAAUCAGAAUAUCAACCUCCUCCAUGUGUAGUAGACUUAACCAGGGUUAGGUUAUGGUUUAUGCCUCCCAUCCUGUGGAGAUCUACUUUGCAACUGGGAUAUGGAAAUUUUUUAAAUUUGGGUGAGUACAGGAGACAUUGUCCUGCGUCAUAAGCUCUUGAUUUGAGAUUUUUAACUAUUGAUUCUCCUAUUAGUCAUCAAAUCAAAGAGUGAAUGAGGGCGUUCGUUAGGAAAACCAGUCUUACGAUGAUAGUGUAUUAUGUUUGGGUGUUCAAGAGCACAAGAGAGAUGAAGAGAGGUUUACUGUCGUACUAAUCCGUGUAGAAUGGUUAAUCGCCGCACUUGGACUCAGACACAAUUAAUGCCACCCAAUUGGACGAGAAUUAGUCGCCAUCUCAUCAUUAGUACAAAUCCUCCUCACUAAUCUCAAUUGUCGUCACAUCUGUAGAGUUGAUCGAUAAGCGGGCGACCGAUAGAUAAAAAUGGCCGAGCUUGGCUGAAUGCCUUAGGCCUGCAGGCUGAGCAUGGGCAAAAAAUUCCAAAAGGCAAAACAAGGUCCUUGAGGCUCCACCCUACCCAAAUGCUCAUUCACAAAGUUAAUAUUUACUAAUAAUUUCACUUUGACAUUUGGAAUUUAUGAGCACUAAUUUGAUAAAAUGAUCCGAAAUUUCUAAUGUAUGGUUGAAGACUAUAAGAUUCAUAGAUAAAGUAGCAAACAUACUAAUACAAAGCCCUAAAAUGAUUCAGCAUUCAUUUUUAUAAUUAUAUAACUUUUUAGCUGAAACAAACAAAUAAAAAUAAAAAAGUGUUCCAAUCAGAGAGCUCAAUGCACCUGUGUUUUUCCCUUAUGCGGGCUUGAGCACUUGCCCAAGCCCUCACCACGUCAGUAAAUUCCUCUUUCGAAUUUUACACUCUAUCAACAACCAAUUCACAGUCUAGUAUAUCUCACUAUUACUUUACCCGAUAUCGUUUGUGCUACUCACAUUAUUAGUUAGUACGCAUCAUGUAUAACUCAUUUUUUUGUAGCCUUUCAAAUUCUUUACUACAUCAAUCCACCUCCAUUUUUCCCUUACACCAGCUUAAGCACUUGCCCAAAUCUAUGUGACAUCAACAAAUUGCUCUUUAGAAUCGUACACUCUAUCGACAUAUGGUUUGUAGUCUUGUAUAUCUCACUAUUAUAUGACUUGACAUUGCCUAUGCUGCUCAUAUGAUUAGUCAGUACAUGAUUGCAACCAUGGGACUCAUUCUGUUGUAGUCCUUCAAAUUCUUUGCUACGUCAAAGGUAUGUUAUUUCAUGAUUUUCACUUUUAUGCUCAUCUUACAUUGGAGUUGACAAUUUAUUUUGAAGCUGAUCAAAUUGGUGAUCUCGAGAUCGCCACUCCAUUAUAGGAUACUAUUUCUUUUUGGUUGACUCAUUUGUCCUGUCCUAUGGCAUAACAACAAAUAGACUACUAUCGCUUGCUCUAGUAUAAAAGCAAUUUAUCGAGCUUUUGCUGAUACAAUUAUUAUAGUUGUAAAAAUUGUAUUUAAUUGCUUAUGAAAAAUUUAGAGAUUAUAUUGAAUGAAAAUCUGUAAGGGAUUUCAAGAAAAUAUUUCGAAAGCAAAUAUUUCCUUCAAAUUUCAAGAAAAUAAAUGAGAGGUUCAAAACAAAAAAAAUCUCAAAAAGCACAAUAAAGCAACAAAACACAAACAACGAUUGAUUGCCAAAUCUCACAUCGUAAUAAGUGUUAAUCACACACCAUAAUCUCCUUUUCCAAAAGCUAUUUCUUACCUGGUGGAUGGUGUAUACCUAGGCUCAGUGUCUAUCAUCAUUGUAUAGAGACUAAAAAUAGGUUGAAAACGCUUCCUAAUCUAAGUCUGGAUUAAAAAAAAAAAAAAUGGACGAGCAUAGAAAUAUCUUUAAGGAACACCCAAAUCUAAAUCGGGAUAAAAGAGCUCUCAUUUUAUUGGAAGUUAAGAGCUUCCACAGCUUGAAGAAGUUGUAUAUUUGUUCCUAGUGCAGCAAGAACUUAUUCAUCCUUGAUCCCAUUGGAUUUAUUGAUUUGGAUUAUCUAAAGUAACGGGUUAAUUGCUAACGAUGGAAGCGAAAAAUAUGUCCAACAAGCGAAAGAGAGCAUCAGCAACCUGUAAAGAAAAAACAAAAAAAAUAAAAUAAAUGAAAAUAACAAAUGACUUCCAGAUCAGAUCGAGAGAGAGAAUCUCAACUUGAGUUUAGAAGAUGGAGCCUUCCUAUAAAGGACCGUAUUGAAUAUUGGCAAAACUUCAGAAACUUCCCCCGUCAUUUACCCUGGUAAUCCUCAAUAUUUCUAGCCACAGACUUGAUUUAAUAAUUUAGCGCCCAGGCAAUAAGAAUCGCUAUUUUUUCUUGGUCGGAGUAAACGAUGGUAUGUAGCUGUCGAGAAGGGAAGGUGUCGGUGGCACAUGACCAUGGCUUGAUAAGACUGCAUGUGAUUGGAAACCGGCAUAGGGAGGUCAAUUAAUUGACACUUUACACAUACAUAGAGGUGUCUGUAUUGAUGUACCCACAUUUCGUUUGGUCCCAACGGCAACCUAAUCAUAGCGUCACUGUAUCAUGGCUUACGAGAAUGAUUCUGCUAUAAUGGUUUUCAGAGAAAUUCAUGUGUUCUCUUGUUCAAUUUGGUACAAGAAAAAACUAUUUCUUUGACUUCUUCUUCUUUUUUUUUUUUUUUUUGCUUAGUCUUCUUUCAUUUGACUUGUAUUUAAGUCUCCCCAGGCGGCCAGAAAGAAGAAAGUCGCAUUAGGGUCUUUCUACAAGUGUAUAUCAUAUCGAACUUUCUUGCCUCAUCAAUGCUCUUUGUACUCCUUGUUUUGGACCCGGUGUAUCCAAACGCGGUGUUUGAUUAGCUUUCUUUCUUUUUCGAGACGUGGGGUAUGUGGAGCAAUUUCAUCACAAAUUGAUGGAUGUUAGAGUAGUUUAAUCCAAAAAAAAGAAGAAAAUAAUUUGAUAAUAUCAAAAAAUAUCCAAAAGGGUUGUGGUGAGAAUGCUCUCUACAUGUCGAUUGUCUUAAUUUACCACACAUGAAUGAAAAAAAAAUCUCCAAUAGGAAGGAAUAGUUGGAAUUUGGUAAAGGACAAACGUGACGAUGAAAUGGGAUAAAGGUUCAUUUGUUUUUGUCGUACGAAAAGCAUGGUGGGAAAGGAAUAAAAAGAAAGAUGACCAUAAAUUUAAUUUUGGAUUUAGAAUAGAUUUGAGAAUUUUUAAAAUGGAAACUUAAUGUAGUAUACAAUAGCUAUAAUUGAAUGAUAAAUAAUUGAUCUAAUGUUAUCUAAUAAUAGUUAGUAAGUCAACUAAUCUUAUGCAUACCCUCUAAGAAUCUAAUGCCUGAGAUGAUUAUGAAGCCUAAAAUAUAAAGUAUAAUAAUCAAUCCUAAUUAUCAAUAUUUUAUUGAUUUUGUUUACUAGUAUGAGUUGCUGUUAUUUAUAAUCGAAUGAAUUAUGUAGUCCUAAAUAGCUUUAGCUUUGAAAUGGAAGUCGAUUCCAUGGCUUAAGUAGUGGAAGAACAACUCCAUCAAGUUGGUGGAAUUUCGACCAAAAAAAUAAAAAAAAAGUUGGCGGAAUCAACAUUCUUUCGGAAUUGAGGAUUCCAUGAUCGCAAUUUGAUCCAAACAUGGGAAAAAGGGAUUGAACCUUGCAGUUGUGAUUCUGUUCCUACUCAUCCAUCCGAACCAAACGUGCAAAUUUUGUAACAAUGUAUAAGCAUUUAAACUCCAAUCAAACGUGGGACUUAGGUCAAACAUUUUCAUUUUUGUUCCGUGCAUUUUAUCUUCUUUUUUUCUUUUUUGGAGAAAUGAAUUUGCUAUUGUCAAACAGUCUUUAUUUAAAAAACUUAAACUGUUGAAAAAAUAGACAUCGGAUAGGAUAUCAAACAUAUAUAUUAACGCUCCCCCUUUCCAUCUAAGUUGAGUUUCACAUGUGAACAGCUCGACGAGAAUAUAACUAUGUUGAAUCAUUUUAGGUAUUAUUGCUGAAAAUUGCUAACAUGUAGAUAUCCUACAUAGGAUGACUAAUGAUGACUAAACCGUCACACAAGCCAUUUUCGACAAAAAAUUCAUAAAAGGAUUACAUUGAAAUGGCAUGCAAAGAUUUACGACUAAAUUGACAAAAUUGAAAAGUUGAGAACUCAUUUAGUAAUUUUUUUCAAAUUAAGGUAGGAUGUUUUUUAAAAAAAAAAUUAUACUAUUGGAAAUCAAACCACGUUUUAGGGAAAACUUCAAAUAAUGACCUGAAUUACUUUUAUUUUUUCAAAAGAGAGUAUAUAGUGAAUAUUGUUUCAAAUAAGGAUUUAAAGUAGUCAUGGCGAUUCCAAAAAAAGGUCUAACCUCAUUGGCUGAUGAAAUAUUUUGGCCGGUCAAAGGCAUUUUUCAUCUAAAGACAAACUUUUUUUUUUUCCUUUUUUCUGUCUUUUCUUCCCUAUACAUAUUCUUCUUCGUCUAGCAAGAUGAACAAGGAAGAGUGGCCAAAGCAACAACCUUAGCAACUAGAGCCAUAUGCAAGAAUAACCAACCUCGGUAUUGAAGCGAUACUGGUGCAAGCUGUGGGUGCGGGCCACAAAGCCUUGUCCAUCGCCAAUGAGAGUCGCAACCCUCACCCAGCCUUGCCUAGAUUUGGGGAGGCCGUUGUGGCAGUGGAUGAGGACUCUCUCGCCAUGACUUUGCCAGUUGUGGGUAAGAGCGGCCAACUAACAACUUUGAGUCCCCUUUAUGAUUUGCUUUUCAAGACCCAAAAUCGUAGCAAAUUGGUCGACCUCAUUUGCUCAUCUCUCAAGAACUCAAGUCCCCAUCUUGCGCUCUUACGUGAUGACCUAAAAUCGUUCCUUUCUCAUCCGUGUAAUGAUGAAAUCUUGCGGACUUUAUUGAGAUGCCAAUCGAAUUAUGCCUCAGCUCUCACUUUCUUCAAUUGGGUCAAGGAUGAUUAGGGUCUCGGACUCAGCGGCUGGCAAGGUCAUGACGAGGUCAUGAUGAAGAAGAAGAUACAACAAGGAAGAAAAGGAAGAAAAACUUACAAAAAUUAUCUUUGAACAAAAAUACCUUUCACUAGUUGAAAGAUUUGGUCGGCUGGCGAUGUUAGAAUAUUAUUUGAAACUGACAUAAUUAUUUUGAAUUUUUAUUUGAAAUAAUAUCUACUUUUAAUCAUUUUUGAGAAAUUGAACACAACUGUCAUUCUGGAUUUUCCCCACAUUUUAUGUCGAACAUGAAUAUAAAAAGGGGUUAGGUUGGUGACGUGGCUAAUUUUCCUUCAUGAUUGAGUUAGUUUGCACCCAAUUCUUUCAUCGUUACAUUUAAUGUAACGGGUCCCUCGUCCCUUAUGUUUAGGUUUAAACUUUUUCCCUUUUCGGGAAAAGAAGUCGUCGAUACAGCUUAUAUAGCUGAGUCCUUGACAGUGCCUUGGUCCCGACAUUGUUAGGUUUUGUUAACGUUUCUCCUUGUGAACUAACCCUUAGGUUUAGGUAGAACAUGUAAGAGCCUCAUGCAACUAUCUCAUUCGAGGAAGUAACAACAUCCUUCCAGCAAUUCUUUUUAGCUUCAAGAAGACGAUUUGGGAGAGAGAUUGUAUGGUCCAUGGACCACAUGGAUCACAAACAUUAUUGAUAAUGUGGAUCUCACAAUAUAUCCCACUCAAUAAAUGAUAUACAUGAUCCAUAGACCAUGUAAUAACUUCUCAAUCUAUGAGAGAGAGAGAGAGAGAAAUAACUCCUUGAAAUAGGGUGAAAUGUAGGAGAAACUUGUAUUUAUGGCAAUUCGGUCCUAAAUUUCUCAAUUUGGUCAUAAAUAUUUUGACAGUUUGUAAAUAUAAUUUAUCCAGUUAAUUUUGGUUGAAAAUUAUUGAUGUGGAUGCCGAAGUAUUACAUGACACAAUUGACUAUGGUGUGAACAAUUCUUAUAGUUUUUUAUUAUAAUAUUUUUUGUUCUUCUUUUCGUUCUUCCUUAGUUGAUUAUUGUGUUUUGACAAUGAUUAGCAAUCGGGCACAAGUGACGAUUGGCUAGGGUUGCCCUUACCAACCUUAGGCGAAAGUCCAUCCCUCGCCUGAUCUUCCAGCAAGAUCGAGCCUCGCCUGAAGCUGGCAAGGCCGGCCCUCACAAGUCUCUAGUAAGGACGAGCCUCACCUGAAGCUGGCGAGACGGGGGUGGAGAAAGGUGGGCCCCCACAAAGUAGGGAUGAGGGGGCAGACAACAACACAUUGGUACAGCUGGGAGGUGGGGUGGAGGGAGGUGGCCCCCGCCAAUUUAAGAGGGUAGUGUUGUAGUGUGUGGUUUGUGGAUUGAGGGAGAGAGAUAAGAGAGAACGUGCGUGGCCUUUUGUCCCAAUUCGUGAAAAUGAAAAUUCCCCCCCAUCGCCCGUUCAGUCCCCCCCAACUUACAAUUUGCCAUCCCGCCCCUGAUCGGCGCACCCCACAUGCACGCAAUUCGUGUUCCUAGUUUUCAUCCACUUUACUUAAUCCCUCGUUCGUACAUUACGAUGCUGUGCGUGAGCUGUGACUGUUGAUUGCGAACUCCACCUCUGAUCUCUUGCUGAAGGAGGAGGAGGUGAGGAUCGCAAUGAUCAUCUUAUAUGCUUAUCAUGCGAUCAAUAAGAUCAUAGAGUCGUCCGUGCUCUGGAAGUGCCAGAAAAAUCUCUCGGUUCUGUCGACUGUGUUCGAUAGGAAGCGGUUCGGCUGCGACCGUCUUCUUUCUUUCGUUCGGUUUAUUCAUUAAAGAGUUAAACCUGAUUUUAGAUGUAAUAGUGAGCGCUGAGACUUUAAGUGUGCUUGAUGUGUUUUACCUUUCUUGGCUCGGGCGCGGGGGAGUCUGGUCGCAUUUGUUUGGCGAUUAAGUGCUCCAGUUAAGAAGAGAUUCGAAUAAUUUAUAAGGAAAAAGAAAAGAAAGGAGAUAAGAAAGGAACAGAAUGAAAAUGGAGACAAAGGCGACCUAAAUAUACUUUAUGUUAUUAAAUAUUGAGAUAAAAUAGAGGUAAGUGCGGAAAAAAAGCAAUUUUGUCUCUUCAUUAGUUGCACGAAUCCGUGCAUUAUUAGAUGGACUAGGAGGGACUUAAAAAGCUGCACAAAACUGGUUGCAUUAAUUUGUCCUUCUCUUCGAUCCAAACUCAUCAAGGUAAAAUUAAUGUUCGAACAACGAAGUGAAUCGCCUCGAGCCCUUUCGAGGGCGGAUAUCGUGUUUUGUCACAAGAUAGAUUUCAUGGUCCAACAACGAGGUUUCAUAAUCGGAGGAAUCUGAAGGUCAUAACACUCAUCGUCCUAUAAGGGGAGAAAUACCAAAUGUGUCGGGUGGGUAUCAUGUCCUUGUGUAUUCGGCAGUGUUCUUUUUCUUUUCUCUCUUUUUCUGGGGGGCCAAUGACUUCUUCCUUUGUGAAGCUGCAACUAACCUUUCGAGAUUCUUAGUUGUACUACUCAAUUCUUAUUCUUGUUCAAGGCAUCAUUAUGAUUUGUGAGGGAAUCCAUUAAUGAACGAACAGUUGUCAUACAUAUGGGUUUAGUUGCUUGUGAGAACGUGGGAAUUCCCAACCAAAUUAACCAAAGUCACUAUUGCCACACCCUUUCUAAUUGCAUUGACAUAUAUAGCCUCACCUCAAUCAACAGACAAAACUCAGGACAUAAAAUUUUAUUUAACAGGCAGGAUAAUGCUCAGUUUCAGUUCUUUUAUUGAGAGAACAGAGAGAGAAAGAAGGCCCGGGAUUCAGGGCUGUCGGGCGAGCUCCUCAUCGCAGCUCCACCAGAUGCUACCGAGAACGUCGCGACGGAUAAUAUGCCAAACCUCAAACUUGUCCAUUGCAAACUACUGGGAUUUUCUGAGCUAGGAAUAGGAGGAUGGGAAAAAUCAAACUUGCGACUUUUGCAAAUCAAGUUUUGACCCUCGACCAACUACUAGGCCGGUGCGUCAAUGGUACUUUAUCUUACUGGGAAUUCGUUCUAAAGUGAACUUUUAAAAAAGAUACUUACAUACUGUGCUGCUUUGAUCAAAUUUUAGAACAACCUUUAAUUAACGAAAGUCAAUAUAUAUAAAUAUCCAUAUUCAAAAUAAGGUGCUCCCAAUCAACUCUGUGCUAGUCAAUAAUGUAUUCUGUUAAGUUGAUGAUGUGACAAAUGAGUCACGUCGACUUUGAUGACUUGUGGAAAGAAAGAUAGACAUGAAAGCGGCGAAGUCAAUUUUCCUCUUUAAUUAUUUAUUUGGCCCUCAAUUAAUAUUCACUGUUAGAUGAUUUAUACAUAUGUGUAUAGUUGGUUUUCCAACUGAAUUCUUCCAUAUAUCAAUCACUUAAUAAUGAUAGAGUAGCUUAUAUUUUACACCGACAAUGGAUUUAAUGAAAAACCCUUUUCGAAAUAAAAUUAUAAGUGUUGCGACGGAUUUUUCCCCCAAAUUAGAUCUCUUUCAAAAAAUAGUUCCCAAAAUAGAUCUCUCCCCAAAUCAUAUGUCAAAAUAGACUUCUCACUACCGCACGGCUCUUGAAGACGGCUACAUUUUUAAAAAAUUAAUACCCAAUAAAGAUAUUUCCCUAAACUAUGUGUCAAAACGAACUUCUCAAUGUCACAUCACUUGGCCAGAUUGCCUAAUCAUCACACGCUUGAUCUCAGUCAUCUUUACCGCCUCUCUCUUAAAUUAUUAAAAUCACUUUCUAAGACUUUUCAUGAUCUGUACUUUCUUCUUGAAUCAAUUUAUCAUAAAUAAUUAAAGUCUGAGUAUAAGUGCAUCUAACCACUCGAUUUUAAUUCGGCGUUGCCUCUCUAUAUAAAAAAUAGAAAGGUAAAGGCGAUUAUGAAGUUUAUUUUGGUAAAUGGUUAGAGAGAAAUCUAUUUUGAAAAUUAUUUUUAGAAAAACAACUAUUUUGAAAAUAAAAAGUCUUUGUCACGAUGUACUUUCAAUCAGAAGGACGUCAUCGAAACUUAUAUCCAAAACGAAGCAAAAGCAAAACUCUCGUGUGGCUGACAAGCAGAAGACAAUAGAACAAAAUUAAAGGAAUUUUAUUGACAUAAAAAUAAAGGAAUUAAAAUCGGGAUUUAUCUUCAAAUUAUUGUGCUUGAUGACAUCUUGAAAUCACAACAUAAUCUUUUUAUAGCAUAACUAUCAUGAUUGUAAGUUACAAUAGGUAUGCCCAGAUUAAUAAAUUUAUGAAAUGUAAUUACCAUAUGAAAGUUAAUUCAAAGCUUAAUUAUUGCCCCAUCUACAUAGUAAUUUUUUUUUUUUUUCGGUUCUUUUCAUUCACCCUAACCAUUUUCUUAACUAACACAAGUAAAAUGACAUGCAAAAUUUGAGAAAAAUGUCUAAAAAAUCUUAAACAUAUUGAAUAACGACUAAUUUAGUUAUAAAAUUUUCAAUUUAGUACCAAACAUUUUGAUGAUUUGCUAGUGAAAUCCUUUCAAACCAUCAAAUCAUCAAAAUAUUUAGGACUAGAUUGAUCAAAUUGAAAAAUUUAUGAUUGAAUUGAUCGAUAUAAUAAAUUUAUUACUCUUUAGGUAAUUUUCUCCAUAAAAGUCAAUAUAAAUCAAAAGGGUCUUGGCCAUCCAUCAAUCAACACUCCACCACUUUAAUGACCCACUUACCAUUGAAGAUCUUUCAUAACCAUUUCAUUGCAUAAAUAUCUAAUGACAAGACAGGAGUAGUUGACAAAAAGGGAGAAGAAGAGAGGAAAAGCGCAUCGCAGUUAGACGCUAGUAUGAAUAUCCAAUCUUUUCGUUUGAAUAUGUUCAUGAUACAUAUAAACAAUCCCAUCCCAUUCACGUACGUCGGGUAAAACUUCACAUUCAAAACGAAAAAAGUUUACCGAAAAAUUGCUUUUAGUUGGAGACGUAUACGAAAAUUAUUGCACGCAUAUCAAUCGUUUGGUGAUCUAUCGAUCCGCCAAACUAUACUUGAAAGUAAAACUCGGGUGUCAAAUCUGAAGCCUCGUUAGCUAUUACUGGAGUGGGAAAAGAGAAACAUCAUUGGCUUUAUUAAGGAAAAAGGAAUCUCGAUCCUUAAUCGUCCGACAAAGCUCGAUUCGCAUUGGUCCAUCACGAGUGGACAUCAGCAAACGUGGGUAGAAAGAGCCCACGAGUUCAACAAGCCCGGAUCAUCACGUCAAUUUUCGCAUGCGGAAACCGCACGCAAUCGGCAAUCUUAAAUUCGUGCCUUCUUUGCUUUGAUUGGGCAGAAUUAAUCAUCGACCAAAAAAUCACUACUUUGAGAAAAGUUUUCCUAAUCAUGACCGAAAUGAAUUGCUUAGAGAAAUGAGUAGUAACGAAAAAAAAUAAUUCGUUAUCGAUAAUAAUUUAUAUCUAAAUAUUUUUCUUGAUAAUGAAAAUAUUUUGAUUUGACUUAUUUUUCUAAGAGAUCAAUCUUUGAUUUUUCGCAUACAAAAUCAUUGAUAUUUUAUAUAUUAAGGAAAACCGACACACUGAAUCCGUUAAUAUAGAAAGACAGAGUAAGUGCCACGACAAAGUAACACGUUCCAAGUCAAGUAUUUGGCCACCGACCAAAAAAAAAAAGAGUCAAGUAUUUGGCCCUUGAAGUCAUCAUUUCGCCCUUGAUAAGAAAUUUAGAGGCAAAUAAAUUUAUUUUCUUGGGUAUUGCCACCUCUAGAUAUAUUUAUAACUAAAGGCGAAUUCGAAAUAAAUAAAUAUUUGCCUUUAAUGUUUGUAAUUAAAGUCUCGCAAUGGAGGACUGGUCUCAUUCGUCGAAAUCAAGAGUUGAUAUCUCAAUUAUUUGGAGGUAAACUUUGACGAAAACUUACACUAUAUUAAGAAGAACCCCAAUCCUCAUUUUUGUUAUAUUACUAUUCUAGGCAUUUUCUUUUUAUAAUGUCUAUAAAUUGAAAUGUGGGGGAGAAAAUUUAAAUAUGUAUCUUAUAAAACACUACGAUUUGGUUGAUCAAUAGUAACUCAUUGAAAUUGUCACCGAUCCUCCAUGUGGAGGAAAUUACCAAAUAAAUCCGUAAAUCUAUUGCACUGGAGUCAAUUCAAUUAUAAACAGAUUACCAAUUUAGUCAUUUUGGUCAAUUUUGAACAUAAAUCAUUGACUUUGAAAUUUUUUCAAACUUUCCUUUUUGUCCUGAGUUUUGAACAGAAAUCAUUACCAAAUAAAUCCUUUCUUUUUUUUAAUUGUCACUGCCUAGGGCUUUGUGGCCCUCAACAAUCACAUUGAAAAAUAAAAGAAAAAACUAAAAAAUAGAUAAAUAAUUCAUAAAAAUUAUUAAAAAAAAAAUAUCUAUGCCAACAUCAACCGUUCUAAAUAAAACGGCUGACAUCCGCAUCAAAGAUUUCAUUCCGAAAUUGGCCAAAAGAAUUACAUUGCUUAUCAAAAGGUUUAGAAUUAAAUCGACCAUAUUGAAAUGUUUAAAAUUGAAUAGACACAAAUAUAAUAGGUUUAAGAUAUUUCUAAUUUCCCCAUGCACAUGAUGUUACAUCAUACUAUUCAUGGACAUAAGGUUUGAGUUUGGGUUUGACAAUUUGGGCUUGAGCUUAACUCAUCCAAUUUGAGCCUUAACAAGCUUAUUGGUUAUCCAUCUAUUUGUUGAAGAUAAAGAGGUUUGUCCAUUGAAUCAUCUAUCGGUUCUUCUCCAAAUCCAAAUAAUAAUAAUAAUAAUAAUAAUAAUAAUAAUAAUAAUAAUAAUAAUAAUCAUAAUAAUAAUAAUAAUAACUCGCAAGAACAACGCUGAUUAUCAGGAACAUGGCAAGUUCAUGGGCCGACACGGACCAUACGAGGAGGGGAAGUGGAUCCGUAGACAUACUUGGUUCGUAUUGAAUCCUUAAAAUUGCCCAAGUGGGUUGUGUUUAUCGCUUGCUCAAUGAUUAGAAGACUGCACGCUCACGAACUUCACAGAGUAGGACACCAUCUAUGACCAGCUGGCUAAUGACCUUGUGGCGAUCUAAUCAAACUAACAUACUUCCUACAGAAAUGAACCAUCGAAAACUGAGGCAUGAGUUCACACUACUUAGGAAAGAGUCGACUCCAAAAUUCAGAUCAGACUCGUCUUUUGACCUUUCCAUAAGAUACCAAAUAAGGCAAGUCAAACAACUGCAGAAGCAGCACCUUUUUCACAUUAUUAGGCAAUUACGAGAUUGCUAAACAGAAUGGUCCUUGAACUUCUCGAAGGUUUUGAUAGCUUGCAAGGAGCCAGUACACUCAAGUCCUUGUUUUGGAUUUCCUUUUUCCUUUCCAUAAUCCCUAUGUAAGCCCAGCCCAUAUAUGACGAUCAGAAAACCACCAUGAGUAUCGGGACAGGGUGCUGAAGCGUUUCCAACAUGUACAUCUUUCGACAGACUAUUGGAAAGUACGCAUGCUUGAUAAAAACAUGAGAACAGAUGCCUGGAGCGCUAGGUUUACCUUCGGAUGGUGGAGGUGCCUUAGAGUGAGCGCUGCUGAGAUUUUCGUACUUGCCAGCCAGUGAAGGGCUCAGAUGGACCCUAUGUGAAGAGAGGGGAGAGUUGGUUGCGUAUUGCACGCUAGUUAAGAAACUUACUCCUGUUUGCAGCAUAACAUCCACUGAAAUAUUUAACCUCGAUCAGCUGAGCAAAUAGUAAUUUAUGGACUCAACUUCAGAAACUUGCAUACCAAGCUGAGAAGUGAGUUCUUGGAGGAAAAACAUUCCAAUUGGGAUUUCGAGGGACAUUUAGCAGCAGCAGAUCACAAAAGGCAACCUUCGCUGCCUCAUCCAACACCAUAUCGGUCUGGCAACAAUCUGUCGCAAUGAUGGGUGAAUGGACAUGAAAAUGUCAAUUAUUUCACUAUUACAUAGGUCUGAAUAGCAGAAGAGAAGGCAAAGAAGACCAGUUUUUUGCUGAUUUAUUUUGUUUAAGCAAAAGUAAGAUGCCGUAGUGUUAUCAAACAAUCAAUCAGUACACUUGAAUCCCUCCAAAUUAUUUAUCAACCCCCCUUGAGAGACCCAAUCUCCAAAUAGCAGUAACAAAUGCGUUGCGCAUAGAACGUACCUCGGAGACAUCACGUGAAAGCGGCUGGAACUGUACUGGGACUGGGCUGAUUUGGAGCAACAUCUGCCACGUCGGCAAUGAGAGGCACCAAGCUGCUCCGCUUCAUUGAUGGCUCGGCCAAGCAUGAACUUGUAGGGAGAUGACAAGAAGUUAUCCAGUGGUCAUAGCAAGGCAGAUGAUCUGGCAACAACACGACUAAUGCAGCCUGAGGAGAGAUGUGCUAAACAUGGCAACAGGAGAUAUUGAUUGGUGCUUUGUACAGUGUUGUAGUUCAAAUCAGCAGAUAGAUGGAAAUAACAUGACAUAAAAUGGCAGACAGUUGCAGCAACAACCAUUGGAAAUCAAUCAAUAGUUCUGCGAUUUUUAUAUCCCAGAAAUUUUUAAUUUAGCAAAAUUCAGAAUAAAAAUCAUGGCAAUAGCAUGUGGAACAUCAUUAUAUGAUUAUGUUGGGUCUUUUCUUUUUCUGGAAUAAACUUAUAAAAAAACUAUUGACUGGGGCACGAGGCAAAUUUUAUCUACCAACUUUUAGUUUUGACUAAAAACGUAACACCACAUCCACAUCUCUCACUCCAUCAGGCAUUAGUGAAGGCUUCAAUUAUAAUUCGAUUUGGGACCUUGACAGUCACUUAGACCAUUGAGCUCAGUGUCAACCACGUUGUCUGCUAAAUAUAGUCAGCAGAGGACUCCAACAAAAUUUGCUUAACUCUAUGAAUGGUGGCCAUAAGGCUUGGCUAAUCACUCUAGACAUAGUGAAGCAUGUUACGGUAGCAUCCAUAUUUGUGAUCUAAGAGUACAACCUAAUCAAUUAAUGAUUGAGGUGAUAUCUGAGAGCUUAAACUGGGUUUUAUAAUCCUCUGGAUUCUGGAGCUGUGCUGAUGCCCUCUCGGCAUUCUUCGAUAAAACCUCACAUUAUUUACAUUUUUUUUUUCCUCUUCCAUGACUCCACAGCAAGUCAUUUAAUUUAAUAAAGAAGAGUUCGACCAAAAAAGAAAAUUAACAAAAAAGAUAGAGAGACACUCUAACAAAACUGUUGCUGCUUUCUCCUCACUUCUUAAAUUAUCCUUUAGCUUUGACUCUACUUUGAAAUUUUGUGACAACCUCAGGAGAAGCAGGUAUCAGAGAAACUCAAAAGAACCACGCUUCCAUAUCAAGCACUAGCGCUUUGUCCUCGGAACAAAUUGACUCCAAAAACUCAUAGAGCAAUGCUGCAUAAUAUACUGAGUGCAAACUCAAAAUGGUCUUACACUUACCAGCUCAUCCAGUGUCAUCAGGGAAAAACAAAGACCACCAUCUUACAUGAAUUCCAAAUCAUCUGACUGUUGUUCCAAGACCUCAUAUUCCUCACUAGAACAUAUAUCUCCUCAUAUUCCUCACUAGAACAUAUAUCUCCUUCUUCCUCCAUUCCACGGACAUCUCGGUCCACUGCUCCUCUCUAAGAUGAGCUAGAUAGUUUACCUCACAGAAAGCUUCUGCCGUCGGCUUCUCGCUGAAUAAGAAAUAAUAUUAAUAAUAAUAAAACAAACAAACAUUAUUGCAUGCAGUAUGACAGUAGUUUGGAAGCAUGUGCACUAUAUGCACAAUUAUUUUGAUGUAUUAAAUUGAGAACAGUUGUUCAGGAAAGGAUGUUCUCCAACCUGCCCCGAAGGAAUCCCGUUUUACAAAUCCAAUAGGCCAACGGUGACUCCAUAGCAACUUGGUCUUCUGGCACUUGGAUUUCCCAUUCCCCAGGACAAACCUCUUUGAAGUAUGAAGCCGCAGCUGAUUGUGGCAUUCAUAGACCAAUUUCAUUGUUUUCUAGCCUGCACCGAUCGCAGCAUACAAAUCUGAAUCAUACGAGAGAGAGAGAGAGAGAGAGAGAGAGAGAGAUCCAAAGGACAGACCCAAGAAGGCAAAUUAAUAGCAUGGCAAGCGGAAGCUUAUUUCAGAUGAAUAAGCUAGAACAGUACAAAGCCAAUAAAGUAAGUCCAAAGCUUUAAAUUGAGGAGAUAAGACAACAAAAGGAAGUGCUUUCAAAAGUAAGUCCAAAGCUUUAAAUUGAGCAGAUAAGACGAUAAAAAAGAAAUGCUUUCAUUGAUGUUUCACCUUGCAAAGUUGACACUUUCACUUAUCCCUCAUUAGUCAGGAAAAAAAAAUUGAAGCCUCUAGGUGAGCUUUUGAAAAUUUCGAAAAGCAGCUUUGGCGUCUCAAAGUGAUUUAGUGAAAGCAGGUGGCUGCUUUGGACUGUGGGCCUGAAACGUAGGUUUUGGGGUCAAGAGUUUCUAAAGAAUGUUACCAAACAAAAAAAAAUUCAAUCAAAAGACACUGAAAUUUAGAACUGCAUUUCAAUAUUUUCCCAUACUCACAACAUGAGAAAGAUGUAUUUGCGCCCAUCAAACUGGACAGGUGCAAACAUCAUAUCCUCCAUAUUUUAUAUUCUCUAAAAACAUAUUGAUAACAUGGCCCAAGCGGGUGAUUAAGCCAACCAGAAUGGAUACAGCAAAUAAUGAUGAGAGAAAAUUUAGAAAAAAACUAAAAGAACAUCAUAUCAUAAUAAUAAUAAAUGGAGAAAAGUAGUGAACUUGAAGCCCAUGAUGAUAUAUCAGUGAAAUGAGGUGCACAUACAAUUGCUCCUCCUUCAAAGAAACCUUCCUUUAAAGCAUGCAGUAUCACCCUUACGAUACAUUAGUCAUGACAAGCCAUGAUUUGAGAGAUCCCAUUUGCCAACCCACCAACAUUGCUCUUGUCCUUCAAAGCCUUCAAGAAACUCCUAUCAUUCACCAUUUUGCGAGGAAACAAAAAUGAAUGACCACCAUAGUUAUCUUCAAGGAAGCAGGUCAGCUCCUUGUUUGUCCUGAAUACAGAACCCCUAAAACCACACCUAUGAUCUUGGGGUCACAAUGAUGUCACGCCUGAGCUACUAUUUGUCAAGCUUGAUGGAGAACUGCUGUUGCUUGUGCUUCUUUCACUGGAGAUCAGAGUAUCUACCCCAGUAGUAUAUGCUUUGUCAAAAGGGCAAAUAGUACUCCAUGGUGGUGGAAUGGGAACUUUAGGAGCUCUGACCGCAGGAGGAUGGCAAACUGCUUUUGAAUGAGAAGCAGCAGCUUUGAUUGCCAUAAGGGAUGUGUACGCAUUGCAAUCAGGAUAAUCCCAUGGAAAGUGGGGCAGGUAAGCCUGCCAAAUGAGAAUUGCAUGCUACUUUUAACAACCAACCAUAGUAGAUCACAUAUUCACGCUUCAAAACUUAGAUCUUUUGCAAUCCAGUGCUUCUCCCUCAAGCCUAUCGCAUGAGCCCCCUUGGAAAUAAGAGGAAUCCAGAAGGCCUUAACCCAACUCAAGGGGAGUACGAUUGAUCAUCUAAAAAGAAAACGACAAUUAUGAAUUCAUUUUUCAUAUGAUGAGUAUUCUAAAUGGGGUUGGAGAAAAAUGGAAGGGGCUAAUAAUCAUCACAUGCACACACCUACAGCCCAUUGCAACCUCCUAAGGAGGUCCUAGAACUUGGAUAUUCAGAUAAGGCUCAUUACCCCCUCAUGUGAUUGCACAGACUAACCAACACAUAAAACAACUUGACAUCCAAAGCCAUAAUCAGGAAUGGAUAUAAAUAACCAAUACUGCUGAGGAUACAAUAAAAGGAAAGAAGAAGACUAACAGGUUGCAAAUGACAGAUAGAUAAAGAGCAGCUCCAGCACAAAUUAUUAAUAAUUUCUUUAAUUGAAUGAUUAUCAGAUAAGCCAAGCACAAGGUCAAGAUCUUUUCCAAUUCAGACUAAAAGAUUAAAUAAAUUCUCCAAGAAAAUCUCUCCAAUUAUGAAUAAAAAGGUAGAGAAUCUUCUUUCCUCCUGCAUUUUUGUAUUUACUACUGAGAACUUAACUAGGACACUGAACUAAUUCCUUGCAUGAAAUACAAAUACUUAAGGUAACUUGUCGCCCCAACUCUAUAUUACAGCUGCCCAGAUAGGCGUCGUGUACUUUUUACCAAGCAAAAGAUGUCCAGAUUCCUCAAAGAAGAAAUAAGUAAAUAAAAAAAAUAUAUAUAUAUAUAGCAAGCCUUUGUGUAAACAAUCUCUGCAGCUAUGCCUCCCCUUUAUCGAGAUGUCUUAUAAAGCAACAAGCCAGAAACUUAUCAUGGCAUCAACAGCUAAAUUUAUUUACCCUUUAAGACAGUCAUGUGCGCUCCCAUUUCUUAGAAGCAUUGUAGGGCAGGAUCUUGAAGACUGUGACCUAUCUAAAUAAUUUGACAUCCCAGAGUUAAGAUUAUCCAAGCACAAGAAAUCUGUACACUUCUUGUGCCUCUCUACGUGAAGAACAUUCUCUUCAAUUGGGGUUCUUAUUCCUGAAGCAGCAUCCCACAAACCAUGAUGUGCCUGUGACAAUAGGAGUAAACCUCCUGCUUUGUCCAAAGGUUGUGUCGUAGAUGACUGCUUUUCAGUUGCAUGUGAUAAAACCUAGUCAACUUUGCUAAGAGCUAUCAUUUCUGAAUCAUUAACAGCUUCUUCGUCCUUGUAUUCCUGAGGGUCCUUGACCAUGAGAGAGAGAAUUGCAUGUGAAUGAAAAUCGUCCUCGUUGUGAAGCAAGUCACAUUUCAUCUUCUUUUCAUCCAUACCAGCCUCGACAGAAGAAUGCUUCUUCAACUGAAAAGGUCUUUUUAAAAUUCUGCACAACCAACCAGAACCAUUUAGCCAAUUUCAAAUAAAUAACUAGGAAAAAUUGGAAUUGUCAUGCUCCUUGAUAACUCACUGUUUUAUUGGAUGUAAAAUCUUCUGAAGAAGCUUAAAGGCACCUGAUCCCAUAACUUCCAACUUUGUAAGAUGACUCUCAAGCGAAGAGCGACGGAUGAAACUACCCAAUUCAUCCAUCUGAUGUGAAAGAAAGGAAAUGAUGAAGAUGUAGAGAAUCAUUGCCAUGCCAGCCACUUAAUAUUGCUAGGAGCCCAAUAUUUAAGUGAUUUAAUGAACCUUGAAAUUCUUGAUUUAACAGAAUGAGCAGGAAAUCCAGUCAAGUGGAUUAUGCAGUUAGUGCAACACACUAAAUAUAAAGCCAAAAAUGGUGUGAUUUUCUUAAGCCUUUUCCCUUUUAUAUCCCUCUUUCUUUUGGUAGAAGGGAGGUAGGCAUUUCCAUAAUCAUGGCAACAAUUGUAAACAGAAAUCUGCUACGACCUAUAAGCUUGACUUUGACUUUGGUAAAAGUGGAUAUACAAUUUUGCUACCACUAAUGUCAUAGUCCUAAUGUAUUUUAUUGAUAAAUUGAGUGAAAGAACUAUAAGAAAGCAAUACCUCCUUUUGACAUGCACACUUUAGAGCAUCAGAUCCUUCAGUAAAGGCUGAUGUAUGUAUCCAGACCCAUAGACGACAAAAUGGAACAGAGCCAUCGAUAUUCUCAGGUACACCUUCCCUGUUUAAAGUGCAAUCCUGCUGAACUUUACCAGUAUUAUGCUGGUCCAAAUGUCUCCACAUAUACAUAACCGGAGCAAUUGGCUUGGAAAGAGGUGUCCCAGCAUGAUGAAGCUGCAAUACACGAGUUAAGAAGUUACAACCGUUGGAUUUAAAUUCAUCAUUCGUUUACCUUGAAUUCCAUUGAAUUGUUUACCAUAGCCCUUCCAUAUGUAACACCAGAAAGAAUUGAAUGAGACAUGUCCAUUGCAUGUGCAGAUGGAGAUGGAACUAGCACUCUAUCUAACAAUGAAGUCAAAGAAUCCUGCAACCAUAGAAAGUAAUUGCUAGUUUGAUUACAAUAUUACUGAACAAAAGAGGAGACUGUCCAGUUCUAAGCUAAAAUGAUAAUCAGUUUGCUUAAGCUGCUAAAGCUCCAAGGCAAAAAGCUUAACAGAAGUAACAAUGAAAACACAUGUGCUCACAUAUACAUAAUGACACCGAUUAUGCAAGUUCAAAGACAUAAGAUGCCACCUCUGGACCCUCCAACUGGACGGCAAAAUGGUAACUAGCAUCAUGAAUGACUACUCCUUGCUUAUACCGCUUCAAGAGAGCUCUUGAACCCCUCCCUCUACAACACAGAAAAAACAAUGAAUAUGUUGAAAAGUCUAAAUGCAUAUGUCUUUCUAUGGAUUCAAAUUCCAGUCACAUCCAAUAAUAAGCAAGUUUAAGAAGUGGGCAAAAGACAAGUUGCUAUCGACAGAACCCUCUGGGGGAGAAAAAACACCAAGCUUAACAUACCCUGUCAAUUGCCCUAAUCCAUUAAAAACAGUGUAUCAAGUCAUGAUAACAUUGUGAAAAAGACAACUUAAUCACCUGCCCUGCAAACCGAGAGGAAGGUAAAAACCCCACAACUUGGUCAUAGUAAACCACUUUGCAUGCCAAACAUGAGUUCUGAGUCUCCUAGUUCCAUCCCCGGAUGUACAGAAACCACUCUCAGGAUUUUGUUUCAGCUCAUUUCUGCACCGUACCUGUCAAGGAACUUUGCCUGGAGCUGCAGGAUUGCGAUCAGCACCAGCCACCUGUGAAUCCUUUCGCCUCUCCCUAUGCCUUCUAUUGGCUAGUUGGUUGUCAUGGGCAGUGGUUCUCCUCCUCUUAUCCCUACGAGAGUGAAAGUUAUUGCUCAAUUUGUUGGCUACGAUGGAGUGUAGAUUCUCCAUCUCAGCAGCUCCAGAUUCUGCAAAAUUUCUAACACUGAGAGUUCGAGGAGCCACUGAUCUUUUACUUCCAUCAGAGCCCAUCACUGCCCACAGAAGAACCAGAAAACUGUUACUCAAUUCCUGUCAAAUAGUUUCAGAUUACUUCCAAUUGAUGUAAAAAAUUCAACAAUGCUAAAAAAAAUGAUACAUCCUCAAACUCAAAGCACCAGACGCUAUGGCUGGUUGUUGAGGAUGUAGUAUAUCUAUCCGAAAACUAUAGACGACUCAACUUCAGACAUACUACAACCUCCUAUAGCCAACAGAAGCUGGCCACUCAACAAUGCAGCAAUUAACGACAAUAACCUCGACAUAAAGGGUGAGAACAGCAUCUAAAUUUGCGGCACUCUCAUCAUUGCUACACACUCCAGAGUAAUAAAAAGAAAUCCUCUUAAGAGAGGUUUGCAGGUAAGGACAGCAGCAGGGGAAUAAGCAAUAUGAUCUUUACAUAUUCUGCCUCCUCUUCGAAUCGACAAAGUAAAAGUAAUUGCAAAGAAACCGCACUGAAGCUUGCUCAAACAAGGAAGCCAACUAGACAUGUGCACAGCCAAUCCCGUGGGCCAAACCACCGCCCUCCCAUUGCCCCAUGCCGCAAGGCAGGGCACCCCGUGGAGUAAGGUGGUACCCCACCCCCUCAAUGAUUAAAUUAUCAACCUUCCAGAGGGCAAAGACUAAUGUGAAUAACAAAUGCAACUAAAACUUAACAACCGAAUUGGACUCAAAACAUAUAUGGAACUUUGAAAUGCUCAAUCAGGACCAAAACAGAGAGGUGAGAGGGCGCCACGCACGGAUGAGAAAACACGGAGAGAAAGGGAGACACGCACUCCUUGAGCUUCAGCAACUGCCGUAGUCGACGGUGAGGUGGUGAGAGGGAGAGAAGAGCAAGGACCUUGAGUUCAAGGAGGCGCGGAAGCGAGACUUACGAGACGAGAGGGAGGGAGAAGUGAGAGGGGCGUUUUUCUUGAUAAGGAAGAUUACAAGUUCCGAUAACUUGUGCACAGUCUAGAUAUUUAAAAAAUUUACCAUUAAGCCCGAAUGUUCUGAAAUGUGUAUAAUCAGGUCCUAAUUACUCGGGGGUGAAGCAAACCAAUGCAUCGGCCCAUGUUCAUAAUCAGGUCCUUACUUUUUUAUUUAUUUUGAAGCAAACAAACCCUUUUUUUAGUUUUUUUUUUUGUGACCGAGGACUCCACCACAUGCUCCCCGUGCCUGAACGACUCCUAAGGAUUGGGUCUCUAUACCUCGGGGAAAACUAGUACAGCAACCCUUUUUUAGUUAAUACUAUAAAAAAAACCCUAAACUAGUACAUCCUGAACAAAUUUAUAUUAAAUUGGUACAUUUAUAAUAAAUUUACAUUCUAUUAGUUUCCGUUAAAUUUUACUGUUGAAUUAUUGAAUUUGAUAACGGUUGAUGAUUGAUCGGUAUACCAAUUUGAGAUUUUACUCUCCAUUUGUUACAAUUCUACCAGUUUUGUGAUUUUUCGUAGCAUUAAUCCAAUUUAAUGGAGGAUACUAGUUUUGGGUUUUUGAUAGUAAAAAAAAAAAAUUAUCAUAAGUAUACAAGUCUAAGGUUUUUUGUGAUCAUUUGGGGUAAAUUUGUCACAGAUGUAUUGAUUUAGAGUUUUUGGUGAUAUUAACCUCUUCUUCUUUUUUUAAAAUUGAAACCUUAUUUAGAAAUUAGGGUUCUCUUUACUUCAAAAUAAAAUAAAAAAUUAAAAAAUGGGCCGAUUCAUUGGUUCCAUUCCUUAUGUGAAAUCGAAAAUCGGAUCGAUUAUUCGCAAUUUCAAAUUUUUGGAGCCAAGAGCAAACUAGUCUUCUAAGAACCAUCUAAAAUUUAUUGGUCCGAUUCGGUUGUAUUCCUAGAUUGGACUGAAUUAAUAAACAUCCCUACUAAUUAUGUGUCGAUUGCCAUAAUUUUCUUACAUUGUAUCAAAUCUGUCAGACCAUGAGAAAAGCCUAAAAGAGUCACCCUUGUCUAAUAAAGAGAAACUUCUGUUCUCGCAAGAGUUCCAUGAUAUUCUUGAGGUGUCUAACUACCCUUGGAUUGUGUCAGUUCUGAUUAUCGCUUAUGCAAUAUCUUCAAAAGAAAAAAAAAAGGAAAAAAUAAAACAAAAACCAUAAAAAAAAAAAAUUCGAUUAUAAAUUACCAGUCCAACCAUUUGCUAUUCCUUCGACCAAAAACAAAAAAUCUACUGCUCCGCUAACUUACAAAGCAAAAGAACAAAAGCUCCGAGAUACAAAAAUGGUUCCAACUCAAUGGGAUGGGACAACGUGGUCAGAUGGAAGUUUGCGAUUGCCUCCCCUCCGUGUAUUCACUCUCAUCCUCUUUUAGUAAGGUGAUCACGAUAUGUUUAAAUACUUUUAAUCAAUAAUCCAUUUUGACAAAUCUAACACAAAGCGGGAUAUCGAAAUAGAAAAAACAAUUAAUAAAAAAUUAAUAAAAAAAUAUUAAAAAUUGCAAUGUCAACAUCCGGCCACCGACUGACGUCUACGUUAGCGUCGGCCAACCAGCCAAAAUUGGCUGGGUAAACUGAAUUGGUACCAAUAUUAAAAGGUUUAGAACUAAAUUAGUCCAAUUGAAAAGUUUAAGAUUUGAUUGGUACAAAUACAAUAGGUUUAGGAUUUUUUUAGUACUUUUCCCAAUUCAAAAUUAUUUAAACAUAUCUGAUCACCUUAAAUGAAAAGCCUAAAAUUUAAAUUAAAUUCAAAGAGUGACUUUAUUUUGCGAGAUUUUCAUUGCCUCGUCUUUAAUGACAAAUGUCUAGGGAUACUUUGGCGCAUGUAAGAACAAUAAUUAAAUUUUUAGCGAGGCCCCAAAGAUGUUAAUCUUGCGAGUGUGUACAUAGAUUUGAAUUUCAGUGAUUUUGUCAAAACCCGGAUUUGCAUGUGUACUGAGGAAGUGGAAAUUAUACACAAUUGCUUUGUGGAUUUUGAACUAUAACAUUUUAUUAACGAGUCGUUGAGCUGCGGAUAUAUAUAAAAAUGAUUUUAGGAUGUCGUGGAGCAUUAAAUUUUACAUAACUCAAUUUAGAUUUACGGUUUGCUCGAUUUUUUUUUUGAAGUUGGCUGCAACUGAUGAACUGUGCUUGAACAGCUGCUUUUGGGCCACAUUUCAACGAUUUUCGGCACAAUUUUGAGUUGGUCAAGAUUCUGGGUCCUCUAGUACUUCGACAGAUAUUCACUUUAUAUGUAAGUUCGUUUGUAAUGGAGUUUGGUGGAGAAAGUUAUAACAUGACCAAAUUUCGCGCUUAAACUCUACAUUGACUUUAAAUAAUCGCUUUGGACAAGCAAUUUGUGGGCGCAUUUGAAUCAUUUUGUCAGCAUUUAAACUUAGCUUAACUGAAUCAUAAUUGAGGUGGCAAUUUUCUCAGUUUUAACAUUAUUUCUCGCUUAUUUAAUAGGAUUACGAGUUCUACAAUCCAAAUAAUCUCCGUCGUUUGAGUGAGUGAUGUUAUCUCUUCCUUAAGUUUGUAAAACUCAUAUUUUGAAGGUGAUAAUAAAUUUCAUAUGGUAUGAGAUACAAAAUGACAUUGUUGUUGCAUAAAAAAGCUGAUCAAGCAUUUACUACCAUAUUUGUUAUUUGAAAUCGUUCAAGACGUAUUUAUAUAAUGAAUUGCAAAAAGGUAUUCUGUUGGAUUAGUUGAGCUGUGAAAUGUCACAUGAUUUGUUUUGUAGAUUGAUUUAUGACAUGAUUAUGGAUUUAGCUUUUAUGGAUUGUGAAGUAUGCUGUUGUGGGUUAGUGCUGAUGCUCAAUAUCUUUAUGAGCCCAUUGAAAGGUUUGUGAAUAUGCAUACUAAUUUAGAAUAUCCUUGUAGGCCAAUCAUCGCUAAUAUAAAUGGAGACCUUGUCGGGGGGAGCUUGGUAGCCAUGUCAUAGGAUACUAUAAGUGAUCAUGAUUGAUAUUUGAGCUCAAGAUUGGUCAUUGGAAUAGACUAUUGACAUGUGCAUUGAUAUUGAUUAGUGGAUUUGAUUAUUGAUAUUUGUUAAAAAUCGAUAUGUAUGUAGUUAUGUUACAACGAUAUUACUCAUUAUAUCUUGUAUAUGUAUUGCACAUAGGAAUUGAGAUUAAUAAAUUUUGAUAUUAUUUUGUAAAGUGCAUAGUGAAUGCUUGAUCUAUUUAAAAGAAAUACGUAUUACUCACUAAGUUGUGGCUGCUUACCCUUUUCUUCUCAAUCUUUUAGGUUUCUUAGUUAGUGGCCAAGGACGCUAUUGCAAGGACUUUUGAAGGUUAGAUUUUAAGUAUGGUUUGAUAUUACGUUCUUUGGAUGGGAGGAUGGCCAUACCUCUUCCCCAUUUUGGUAGGAAUUGGGUGUGACACAAUCCUUUUGGUCUCCUUUGGUAGAGGCAUUGUUGAGCUCUUCAGCGCAAAGCUUGUAAGAUGCACUUCCAAAUUAGCAUUGGCUUUUGCAUGAUAUUCUACUUGUUUUCUCAAAAGUUCCAAAUAUGACCAUUUACUUCCAAAUUCGUCAGAUACCAAAAGAACCCCACAUGAUAGAAAUGAUCAUGAACUGGGGUCACUUCUUCAAAGAUGCCAUUAAUCUCGGGCUCUGCGAUAUAAACAUCAAUGAAUUGCUGAUCCAAUAGUACCUGAAGUCCUAUCUUUUGCCACUCCGCCUUUCAAGUUUGGACUCUAGACUACAACAACUUCCGAUAGGAACGUGAAGUAACAACAAUCCUGAAGGAUCAUCGGGAUAUAUUUCUUAAGCUGGUGUGAUGAAGCAGUCUGUUAUCAAAUCCACGAGGUCUGAAGAUUCCAAACGUUCAUCAAAACAGCCAAAUUUCUCAGGUUGUGUUGUGGCUGCGAAGGGUAAAGCCAUUUGCAAACAGAAAGCAGGUGAUUGCCACUCAAAGAAACUGAUAAUAGAGAAGAAGAAGAAGACGGCUGCGAUUGGAGACAAGCUCCAUACUCUCCGUUCACUUGUACCAAAAGACAUCCAAGGUCCACUGUACUUUUCUCGCUCUACUCUAGAAAAAGUAAUCCAUUUCGCUUGGCGUUCAAAGCUGUUUUCUUCGAUGCGGUCCUUCACUGUGUUGCAAUAUUGAGUGAUUACUCUAGUCAACAACAAUUUCUAUUUGACACAAGCAUAAAUUUAUAUCAAGGAACGCACGCAUUCGAAGAUUGUCAUGUUUUAAGGAACACAUGCAGUAACAAAUUAUUUCAUAGUCAUAUUGCUUGUUAUUUUACUUGAAGACUGUAUAUCCAUCUGAUUCUUCCUUGUAUUGACUAGAUGGUCAUGACUUCAAUCCUUGGGGACGCUGUUGAUUCCAUUGAGGAUUUACAAAUGGAGGUGAGAAACCUCAAGGAGGAACUUGGCAAAAGCUUGGCCAGACAACGCGAUAACCCUCGACUCUUCCCCGUCUUGACCCAAAGACGGACACAGAGGUGAACAAAGUCAAGCUUGUAGCUCAACUGUCAUCUCAUAGUUCCUCAUUAAAUGUGGACUGAGCAUCACUUUGAUAUCGUGCCUUGACUUUGUGGAAUUAAUGAUUUCAGUCGCAUGGGAAGGUGAACCAAAUUGGGAAACGAGAAUUUCUGGUCAAGGUGUCACUGUUGAAAUAGCGAGGAUGGCUUUCUAGAAUGAUGGAGAGGAUGAACUCGCUGGCAAUUUACGGUGGUUGAUGCCCGCACCACCGCGUUAAAUGGUAAAGUCCUGACCAAUCUCGUGCUCGAGGUAAGUCUGUGAGGAUACCGCGGCAAAUGAGAGUAUUUACAGAAUUUCCUUCUUAGAAAAGCUUCUACGAGCAUUGGUCCAUCCUACUUUAAUAUGAGCUUCAUGCUCCAAUUCAGGUAUGUGUAGAACAGAAGGCAUAUUUAUAAUGAAGUUUGCAUAAGAUGCAAAUUCUCUGAAUAAUUUAUAGUUUCAUGAUUCCUGUUUCUGGUCGGUACUAAGACUAUUCUUGUUCUUCCAGCUGAACAUCGGUAUCCCUCCAGAACAUCUGAGAGACUUGCCGAUGCGGCUAGUGAGCUAAAUUAGUCAGUAUGAACAUCCGAGGUUGUCAUCGAGAGGGGGCGAAGAUUAUGCAGAAGUGUCCUUGUGCGGCACAAGGACCAAUGUAUCCGUUAAAUAAGGCCGAUACCAUGAUCAAUGAACUUCAACUAUGCCCAAAUCCCAAUCGAGCCAUGCCCAUCUCGGCUCCCGUAUUUUCGCAGUCGACAUUUUAAAUUCCAAAAUAUGUGUAUGGCCAAGGAGGAUUACAGGUAUCCUUUCCAAAUCGUCAGGUAUGUCAUUCAGUCUGUAGAUUGAAAUCUCAUCAACAUUUGCAGAUUUCUUUUUGCAUAACAGACUCAGAUGUAACUUGAUGAACCUAUAGUAAAAAUCGAGCAACUUAGAAACCUCUCCUUAAAACCGAAAGUUAUAGGUUCAAUAUUGAAAUCAUCUUUAAAUUAGUAUGGUAGGUUUUAAAUCAAGGUUCUAAGUUCUUAUAGUCUUUAAAAUUGGCCUUGCAAUGAACUCAUUCACUACGACCAUCGUUACUCCUCAUCUUAAGCAAGCAGUAUUGUGGAAUGAUUCAAAUUAAAAAGGGAUAAAUGCGGGAUUUGCGAAGAGGAGACAGUCGUCGUUCGUCUUUGUCAUCGACACCGCUCCUGUGGGAUGACUUACACGCAAUGACAAGGGAUUUGAUAUGGAUCUUCAAAUUGCCACUGCGAAACCACGAAAUGAAAAUGGACAAGGGACGACUUGCACGGACUCGCUUUGGCCGGGAAAAUUUGCCCGGACUUGAUUUAGAUUUAGGGCUUAGAAUUUGGGAUUUGGGUAAAAAGAAAAUACUCCGAGCGACACCUCAAGAAAGGAGAAUAAGAAAGAACGAAGAUAUGGGGCAAGAGUUGAACGACGCCGUUUUGGAUGCAUUGAAUAUGGACUUAAUUUUUUUUGCCACAUAAGUGAGAAAUGAAUAAAAUAAGCCACAUCAGCAUUUUCCAUUAACCUAAUUGGACAAAGUUAUUGGAUGGGCUUUCUUGCACUUGAUAGAGCAAAUCUCCCAACAUAUAACAUCUUCCAUAAUCUGCACCAAUCCCAUUGAUAGAGUAACUUUUUCUAUGAUAAUAUAGCAGUCUUAUAUUUCGUAAAAUCUUUUCAAUUGUGAUUUUCCCGCUCAUGUACAUACUAUGAAUAUAAUACAAAACUCCACACUAAUGAGUGUGUGAUCAAACUCAAAUUCGUAAUCUUUUAUGAUAUCAAAACUUCUCAAUUUUUUUCUCUUCUCCAUUAUAAUGUCUUCUUCCCCAACCUCCAACAUUGUUAUUGCCUCCAACACCAUAUCUUCCACCAUCGUUGCUAACUCUCCAUUCUUGUUGGCUCCCUUCCAAUUACCCUUUGCUCUCGACAAUAUAUCGCAUGUUCUUCAAAUCAAGCUAGAUCGCAAUAAUUACCUUAUGUGGUGAGCACAGUUUCUUCAUUUAUUUCAUAUUCACGGGUAUCUUCCGUUUGUGGAUGACUCAUAUCCUUGCCCGGUGCCCACUAUCAUUACUGUUGAUAAUACUGUGAUGGACAACCCAGAUCAUACUGUAUGUCAUUAUCAAGAUCGACUCAUCCUCUACUACAUCUUCUCCACUCUUGCUAAAUAAGUUCUCUCACACAUUGUCGGUUUUGAGACAACUUCACUCGAGAAACUUUAUGCUCCUCAAUCUCAAGCCUGCAUAAUGCAGUUAGAGUAUUAGCUUCGAUCUCUAAAGAAGGGCUCUCUUUGCAUGGAAGCAUUUGUUUAAAAAGCCAAGAACACUACGAAUCAACUUUUUCAACUGCUCAUCCCUUCUCAAAUUUCCAAUUAGUUCUCAGCAUCCUCAGUAGCCUGGGUUCGGAAUAUGAUGCAUUCAUUGCCUUAGUCACAUCUCGUCUUGACCCAUUACCUCUUGAUAACUUCCUGGGCCUUCUUUACAAUCGGGAAGUUAUUUUUCAAAGCCGUACCACUAAAUCUCCAAUAGAGUCGUCUCCAAUUGUGAAUGCGGUAGUCAAAUAAUUUGAGCCCUGAAUACUUCCUUCAAUGGUAAAGGACGUGACUGAGGACGAGGAUGCGGCCGAGGCUGUGGUCACAAUUUUUAUGAUAUAGCUUACUCUCCUUUUCGAAUUAUUUGUCAAGUUUGUGAUCAUGUAGAUCACUCAACUCUCCAAUGCUACCAACGAUUUAAUCUUGGCUCUAAAUCUAUUACUGACUCUCUAUCUACAAUGUAUACCUCUUCAACUGGUGAAUCAUUUAUCCCAUGCUGGCACUCAAACUCUAAUGCCACUCAUCAUCUCACAGCUAACAUGGCAAAUUUGACCAUUCAGAUCGACUAUCCUAACACGGUUCAAAUCUAUACUUCAAAUGGGUUAGGUUUGCAAAUAUCACAUACCAAUUCUUUAAUUCUACAUUCUCCUACCAGUUCUCAAUUUACCAAAGACAACAAUGUGGUAUUUAAAUUUCAUCCUACUUUUUGUUAUGUUAAGGAUCGAUCCUUGAGGAACCUCCUUCUCAAAGGCUAGUAUCAGAAUGGACUCUAUUAUCUUAAUAAUGCAUGUACCACCAAUGAGGUCCCUCUGCAGUCAAAUGAAUCACCUUUAGCUCCAUCUUGCUUCAUUGGUGAAGAAGUGUAUGCUUCUAUUUGGCAUGAGCGCUUCAAUCAUCCAACUGCUCGCAUUCCUUUUUCAAUCAAUUCAAAGCAUGGUCUGUCAAUAUCUCCUUCUUCCUCAUUUAGUUUAUGUGAAUCAUGUCACAUGGGCAAGUUGCAUCAUCUUCCAUUUACUAGAUCAUCAACAAAUCGUAAUACUCCUUUGGAAAUACUUUAUUAUGAUCUAUGAGCACUAUCUCCUGCAAUUUCAGUAAAUGGUUUUUGUUAUUACAUCAUUUUUAUUGAUGCUUAUGGUGGAUACACAUGGUUUUUUCCACUUAAUGUGAAAUCUAAUGCUCUUUCUAUUUUUGUGCAAUUUAAAUGCCAAGUGAAAAAAUAUUUCAAUUGGAAGAUUAAAGCCCUUUAAACCAAUGGAGGUGGUGAGUAUGAGAAAUUUGAUCUUUAUCUCCAUCUUCAUGGCAUCCUACAUACUUUUUCAUGCCCACACACAGGGGAACAAAAUGGUUGAGCUGAGCACAAGCAUUGUCACAUUGUGGAAACUAGUAUCACAUUGCUUAUUUGAGCUUCUAUUCCUCAUCUAUAUUGGACUAAUGCUUUCCUCACUAUGGUCUUUCUGAUUAACCGCAUGCCUACAACGAUGUUGAGUAAAUUGUCUCCUUAUUAGAAAUUAUUUGGCUAGAAACCCAAUUAUUUAUAGUUGUGUGUUUUUGGAUGUGCUUGCUAUCCUUAACUGCAUCCUUACACUCUGAUGAUAGAAUAACGCAAUGUAUCUUCAUUGGCUAUUCUCCUUAUCACCAUUGCUAUUGUUGUCCACAUCGCAUCACAGGCCGAGUAUAUGUCUCUUGCCAUGUGAUUUUCCAUGAGCACUUGUUCCCAUUUGCUAAACUACAAUCUGGUCAAUUGUCAUCACCAUCACCAAGUAUCCAUAUUUACAUUAGUUAUUCCUCUAUUAAGCCCCAGCAGCUUCAAGUGGUGUCCACUACUGCAUCAAUUUCAUUACCUCCAUCUAAUAUCAUGGGCAAUUCCUCAUCACUACUUCAACAAUCCUUUACUUCCACAAUUCCAUGUGGUUCUUCUUCUCCAACAGUCCACCCUUAUAAUCUUCUCAACCUCAACUGCCAACUUCUAGCCAUCUAACGGUCACUUGUGUAAAAAAAGAACAUUCGUAAACUAAAGGUUUUUCUCUCCUCUAAGCACCCCAUGUGUUUUUGUUUUCACUCAAGCUUGACACCAAGUGAACCAACCUGUUUUUCCAUUACAAACAAAGGCCCUAAUUGGUAACAAGCUAUGGCCAAAGAAUCUAAUGCUCUCAUUCAAAAUGGCACUUGGGAACUAAUUCCUCAUCAUCCUUCCAUGAAUGUGGUCAACAACAAGUGGAUUUAUCGACUAAAAACCAAGGCUGAUGACUCCAUUGAUAAAUACAAAGCACAAAUCGUUCCGAAGGGCUUUACUCAACAAGUGGCUUAGACCAUGAUGAAACUUUCAGUCUAGUUAACAAACUAGCAAUGAUUCAAGUUGUUCUUUCCUUAGUUGUUACAUAUAAUUAGUCUCUAUGUCAAUUGAACAUCAUGAAUGCAUUUCUCCACUGAACCAUUAAUGAAGAAGUCUACAUGAAGCAGCCACAAGGAUUUGUUGAUUCACGUUAUCUUGGCCAUGUAUGUCGUCUUUAAAAAGCUCUAUAUGGGCUAAAUCAAGCUCCAAGAAUUUGGUCUUCUCGGCUAAGUUCAUACCUACUUUCUGUCAGGAUUGUGGCCUCCACUUAUGACUCUUCAUUAUUCAUUCAACGUAGUUCUAACCACAUUCUACUUCUUCUCAUCUAUGUUGAUGAUAUUAUUAUUGAGAGUGCUAGUAUGAACAAAAUAAAGGAGUUAGGGAAGAGAAUAAGAACACAAGAUUUAUAGUGGUUCGGCUUAAUCCAAGCCUACGUCCACUCUCCCACGCUAACAGCCUUCUUGGCUGGAUUCCACUAUGCAAUCAACAAGAGAUUACAACUUCGAGUGCAAACACUUAGUAGUAGAUCACACUAUCUCACUAAGUCACUCUUUUGGUAUUUCUCUCACGAUUACAAACGUUUAAGCUCUCAAGAGACAAGUAUAUGAUCAAAAGUCGCUCAGACUUUGGAAUUAUAAAUUCUACGCUCCGUCUCUUACUUGCUCAUCGGUCCAUGAUCUCCUUAAAUACUCCUCCACUUCCAAACUACCCGUUGGACAGUAUCCCGGAGAAUCGUCUUCCAAUAUACCCAUUGGACAGCUCUGUAUCUAGAAGAUUUGGUAGCCGUUGAGUGACAAAGGUAAAAUCCCAAAUUGAUUCCGAUCGCCCAUACAAACGAAAUCUUGGUUUCCAUAAGUAAAGCUUCUUCGUGUAGAAAGUUCUUGUCUUCAACAUCCAAUUGUCAAUCAAUUAGAUUGAAUCAAUCAAAUCAAUCUUGAUGUGGAAUCCAAACCAGAUCACUAGCCGUUAUAUGAUUGGGCUUGAGUUACGAUUCAUUACAUCUGGAUGUAAAGUCUGAGUCUGUAGACUUUACAAUAUGAGUCUGUAGACUUUACAAUCUGGGUCUGUAGACUUUACAAUCUGGGUCUGUAGACUUUAAGGUAUGUACCCAGUUCAGCUUCAGCAUAGAGUCUGUCUUCUGGUUCAGCUUUCACGUUCAGUCUGGAAUUUAUCAGAGUGAGCAGACUUCUGAUGUAGAACAGACUUUGACACUAAAGUCUAGCAGUCUUCAGACUUUGAGUCUUGAGUCUGGCAGUCUUCAGACUUUGACACAGAAGUCUGGAAAUCUUCAGAAUAUAUUUUGGACAUGUGUUACGUUCAGUCUUCUGGUCGUCUUCUGACUUUGAUAAUAUCAUCUACAUGUUCUAACAUUUGCAUGGUCUAUUACUCAACCAUCAAACAUGUUAGUAGCCUUUGAUUUAUUUUGUCAUCUUCAAAACAUCAUAAGGGAUUUCCCUAACAAUUAUUACUGAGAGUUCUAUAUCUCCCAUCACCGAAUUAAUCACUCAACUUGGUACUGAUUUUUCAAUUACUAAUUUAGGAAAUCUAUCUUCCUUUCUUGGCAACGAAGCCCAUAGAUCCUCUAUCAAGUUGUCCCCCUCUCAAUCUAAGUAUGCCACCACUCUUCUCACUUGCACAAGCAUAGCUGAUGCAAAACCUUGCUCAUCGCCUAUGCUCCCUCGACUUCCAAGUUGUUAAAGCAAAGUGGUGAACCAUUGAUUGAUGCCUCCACAUAUCGGAGUACAGUUGGGGCACUACAAUACCUCACUUUUACCAUGCUAGAUCUAUUGUUUGCUGUCAAUAAAGUGUCCCAAUUUAUGCAAUGUCCAACUAUGGACCAUUGGUCAGCCAUCAAAUGGAUUUUGCGCUAUCUCAAAGCUACUAUUCAUCAUGGGAUUACUUUGCGGCCAAAUGCCAACUAACCUUCACUGCAUUUACGGAUGCUAAUUGGGCCAAUUGCCUUGAUGAGGGAAGUCUACUAGUGGCUAUUGCAUUUAUUUUGCUCCCAACUUAGUUUCCUGAGUUCUAAAAAGCAACCUAUCGUUGCUCAGUCCAACAUUGAAUUAGAAUACAAAGGGGCGGCUAAUGCGGCCUCCGAAUUACAAUGGUUAUUACAACUCCUUGAAGAUAUUCGAUACACUCUCCACCGAUCACCACUUGUUCUUUGUGAUAAUGUAGGAGCAAUCUAUCUGGCCGCAAAUCCCAUCUUCCAUGCACGAACCAAACACAUGGAAAUUGACUAUCAUUUUGUUCGUGAUUUAAUCGACAAGAAGCAAUUGGAAGCUCAAUUUAUUCUUACACGGGCACAAAUGGCUGAUGUCAUGACAAAGCCUUUAUCCAAAUCCCAAUUUCUUAUUUUACGUGAGAAGCUCACAGUAACAGUAACUCCGCCACUGUUUCGCUUGAGGGAGUGUGAUAGAGCAAAUCUCCCGAAAUGGAGCAUCUUCCACAAUCUGCAUCAAUCUAGUUGAUAGAGUCAAUUUUCCAUGAUUUGUGAGUAAAUUUUCCAAGAUAGAACAUCUUCCAUAAUUUGCGUAUCAAUUUUCCACGAUUUGUGGGGAAAUUUCCCAAGAUAGAGCAUCUUCCAUAAUUGCGCCAAUCCCGUUAUAAAGUCAAUCUUCCACAAGUUGUGCAAUUCCAUUGAUAGAAUAAAUCUUCUGCCAUAUGUGAUAAUGUUGUAGAUUCUUAUCUUUUGUAAAAUCUUUUCGAUUGUGAUUUUCCCGUUCAUGUACAUAGUAUUAAUAUAAUACAAAUCUUCACACUGAGGAGUGUGUGAUCAAAAUCAAAUACAUAAUCUUUCGGCACUGACUUAAUAAAUUUUAGAAUUUAAUUACAUUUUUUGCAAGUUUAAAUUUUUUUUAAUCAAGUUUAAGAACUUUUGAUACACUCAUCCUUUUCUUAUAAUAAGAAGUCAACGUUGCUAUCAUUGGUUGCAAUCGAAAGGGAUGGUGUAAUCAUUCGGCACCCAUGGACGCAGUCUCAUGCUCAUAUCAAUCUUCUAAAUAUACGAUUUAAUAAUCAGGAUAAGGUCUCACAUACGCUAACAAGGAAAGGAGUGCUACCACGUGUUUGUAAUGAUAAUCGUAUCAUUAUUGGCAUGUUGUAUCAUCAUUAAUAAAAGAUGACAGCGUGCCAUCCCCCCAAGGUCCACGGGAGAGCGACGCAGCACCAUCCACCCCAUCGCAGAACCUCUACAUGCGCAGCAUACCCAAAUUCAACCAUGUCCAACAUUAGAAAAUACCCGACCAAAAAGAAGAAAAACAUUAGAAAAUAACAAAGGUGGAAGGAACACGAACACGGUUUCGUCUGACCGAAUCGAAAGAGGGAUAUACUAAUUAUGCCGGCAGCGAAACGAGCCCACAUGAACCUGCCCCAUGACCGCUGCGAUAUCGACGGCAUGCCCGGCUGCAUUCUGAAGACCAUUUUUCACUGGCGUGCGUGCCUCCUGUUCACAUUGCUGGACAGCAUUGGCUUCUUGCCAACCGCUGCUUUUUUCUUUUUAUUAUUGCGUAUUGCUGUUGAUGACUGUCCGAAGUGGAAAAAAUCAAAUGUGUUGACAUUACCACAUAUGUCAUCCCGGAGUUUUGUGCACGUCCGUUGGUCUAGUGACCGCAUUAGAUUAACCCAACUUGGAGAAGCAUUUGUCAUCGCGCUUGAUUAUUCGAUGGGCAGGGCUUUUCUCUUCUGUUCUUCCUUUUCCAGAUGAUCAAGCAGCCAUGGUUAUGACAUGGCGGGAAAAAAGAAAGCUCAUUUGUCUAAAUUUAUAUGCUCAUGUGACAUGGAGUGUUGAUGAAACAGCUUCAAUCAUUUAUUGAGAAACCAAAAAAAAAAAAAAAAGUGAAAGUGCCUGAUUUCCAAAUGAUUAAAUAUAUUUUCGUAAUUGAAGUGUCGACUACUAGGAAUAUGUUACCGAGAGACUUGUCUAUAUAGUCCCUUUUUAUGUUGUGAUUGGAUGGUAUCUCUAGUUGCAUUUACAUCAAAGUGGAUUCACCUUCCUUGUUUGAACGAAAGCAUGUCAUCUCCGUAACAAUAAUAAAAGAUCUGAGAAAUUGUUGUUUUGUAACCUAAUUCGAGAUAUAUCAUCUAUAACGUGGGAGGCGUAAAUGCUAAUCAAUAUUCUUUUUCUUACAAUUGGAACCGACAGAAAUCAAUUGAUGACUAGCUAGACUCUCAUUAAUCUAGGAGCCGAACGGUCCCAUGCACGCACACUCUUGUGGCAAUGACUAGAACAUUGGGGUCCCUUCCCUUUUAUGUAAACAUCAAAAGAGCGUGAAAGCUUGAGCAAGCACACCCAUUGCUUUGAGCAACCUCUCACGGUUCGGAUCGGCCCUACUUCCGAGGUCCGGCACAACCGGAGCUCUCACAAUACAGUUGCCCCAACUCUUGAAUCCGACCCUAACUUGGGACGAACCCCGCACACCAUCUCGUGUCCACUCCUGAUGGGCCCAAAAACUUUAAAUGUUGCGGCCGUCUCCGGGCACUGGGUCCAACCAUCGCCGGCGGUUCGAGUCCCCGUCCCAUCUUGGAUCCGGCAUUUAAAUCUGGCGAAGCAACCGCCCCAUCUAAAGUGGCCCCGCCCGACCCAUUUGUGCGAACCGACCAAGCAUUGAAUCCCCCCUCCUCUCUCUGAUUUGAAGACUUGUUCAGGAUUUCCCCCAAUCGCAUGACCCCAAAGAUUCGAAAGUGGAUUUCCGUAUUCCUUUAAUAAAAUAGGAGGAGGAGGACUUGACUUUGGGCACUCAAGGGCCCCACGUGGGCCAGAGCACGAGGCCACGUUUUCUUGACCUAGUGAACUUUUCGAACAGCGAAUUUCUUCUCUUUACUUUGGGUUUUUCUUUUGGGGGUGGGGGUUUAGAUUGGGCUCGAACAGCGAGGUGCGGAAACCUUAACUCGUCCGACUCCCGAUGAUCGCGUUCAGCCCCGAGUCAAUUCCUCCCCACUGGAGCUGCCCCCCAUUAGAAUAAUGAGCGCUCGCUCUGGCGGGCAGUUGCCGUGUAGAUUUUGCCAAACGCUCGAUCCCGUUCAGAUCUCGCGGCUCGCCUUCCCUCGCAUUUAUUUCCCAUUAAAUCCCCUCCGCUCCUCCAUUAAAUAUUGUCAUUUCGGGUCACCCCUCUUUUGUGCCCUUUCGAUUUGGGGUUCAUUUGCGACGGCAUCAUUCACAUUCACAAUUCGCUUUUUGUCCCCCCCUCCCCCUCCCCCUCUUUUUUCAAAUAUUAUUCUCUCUUCCUGAGCUCUUUCCUUUUCUUUAUUUUCCCCCCCGGGGGUCCUUUUUCCUUCCUUCCCUUAAUCUCAAGUAACAAUGCCAAUUGGGGUUGUGAUUAGAUGUGGGUCUGACGAUAUCUCAAACCGAAUUGUUGCGUCAGAAGCCCUUAUACUUGUAUUAAAUUCUCUCUAAAAGGGAAUUCUCUCUAAAAGGGAGAAGUAUUGAGAUGAAAUACUUUUGAACACUACCAAAAUACCAAGAGAAGGUAGUUGGAUAAUCUUAUGUAGUGAUAAUAACUUCGCCCCGUUAUUGAUAUCUAAGACUUUUUAUUCCAUAACGACAAUGAUAUUAUUUCACAAUUCUUAAGAUAUAUUACAUAUCUCGUAGAUAUGAUCAGUUCUGUAAUGAAUUUGUUUCUACUCCAAAACUUGAAAUCAGAUAUGGGAAAAGCUUGUUCUUAAUUUAUGGAAUUGAGAACCAGCUCACCAACCUACUUGAUUUGAUUCCAAAAUUGGUCCUAGAACCAUUGCUUUCUUAUUUAUUUUGUUUCUUCUAUUUUGUAGAAGUGUGCAUUUCCCAACAAUAAAAGAAAAAAGUAAUUCACUAAGUAGGUUUGCUUCAAAAUAAAUAUAAUAAAAAAAAUGAAGAGAUCUUGGCCGGUCUAGUCGGAUUGAUUUUUCUUAGUGCCAUAAUUUUUUAAUUAAGAACUAAACUAAUUCCCUUAAAAACACCUAGAAUUGUUUAGAUGGGUUCGAUUUAGUCUCGAAUGGAAUAAGAGCCAAUGCGUACCUAACAUACCCAUCAAAUAAUAAGUAAUUCAUUCAUUGUUGUUAUGGAUUAAGACCCCCUCGAUUGGAUUUACUUCCCCAUACCAUCGUAACUAACCUUCCUUCGUAUGCAUCAUUCAUUUAUCCAUUUUUUAAGAAAAGCUUAUAUAAAUCUCCCUCCCUCUCUCUCUCCCUCUCUCCCUCUCUCUGGAAGCAAAAGCCAUGGAAGCUUGACCUUCCACCCUCUCUCUCUCUCUC
rnacentral:lncRNA from 1 species